UCACAUAGGCUCAGUGGUAGAGCGCCCGCUUUGCAACCAUUCAUUGAAUGCGGGAGGUCGAGGUUUCGAUCACCUCAUCGUCCA